CGGGCCGUAGCGCAGCUUGGUUAGCGCGCCUGACUGGGGGUCAGGAGGUCGAGAGUUCAAAUCUCUCCGGCCCGACCA
rnacentral:tRNA from 1 species